rnacentral:rRNA from 1 species
GAUGAACGCUAGCUACAGGCUUAACACAUGCAAGUCGAGGGGCAGCAUGGUCUUAGCUUGCUAAGGCCGAUGGCGACCGGCGCACGGGUGAGUAACACGUAUCCAACCUGCCGUCUACUCUUGGACAGCCUUCUGAAAGGAAGAUUAAUACAAGAUGGCAUCAUGAGUCCGCAUGUUCACAUGAUUAAAGGUAUUCCGGUAGACGAUGGGGAUGCGUUCCAUUAGAUAGUAGGCGGGGUAACGGCCCACCUAGUCUUCGAUGGAUAGGGGUUCUGAGAGGAAGGUCCCCCACAUUGGAACUGAGACACGGUCCAAACUCCUACGGGAGGCAGCAGUGAGGAAUAUUGGUCAAUGGGCGAGAGCCUGAACCAGCCAAGUAGCGUGAAGGAUGACUGCCCUAUGGGUUGUAAACUUCUUUUAUAAAGGAAUAAAGUCGGGUAUGCAUACCCGUUUGCAUGUACUUUAUGAAUAAGGAUCGGCUAACUCCGUGCCAGCAGCCGCGGUAAUACGGAGGAUCCGAGCGUUAUCCGGAUUUAUUGGGUUUAAAGGGAGCGUAGAUGGAUGUUUAAGUCAGUUGUGAAAGUUUGCGGCUCAACCGUAAAAUUGCAGUUGAUACUGGAUAUCUUGAGUGCAGUUGAGGCAGGCGGAAUUCGUGGUGUAGCGGUGAAAUGCUUAGAUAUCACGAAGAACUCCGAUUGCGAAGGCAGCCUGCUAAGCUGCAACUGACAUUGAGGCUCGAAAGUGUGGGUAUCAAACAGGAUUAGAUACCCUGGUAGUCCACACGGUAAACGAUGAAUACUCGCUGUUUGCGAUAUACAGCAAGCGGCCAAGCGAAAGCGUUAAGUAUUCCACCUGGGGAGUACGCCGGCAACGGUGAAACUCAAAGGAAUUGACGGGGGCCCGCACAAGCGGAGGAACAUGUGGUUUAAUUCGAUGAUACGCGAGGAACCUUACCCGGGCUUAAAUUGCAGAUGAAUUACGGUGAAAGCCGUAAGCCGCAAGGCAUCUGUGAAGGUGUUGCAUGGUUGUCGUCAGCUCGUGCCGUGAGGUGUCGGCUUAAGUGCCAUAACGAGCGCAACCCUUGUUGUCAGUUACUAACAGGUUCCGCUGAGGACUUUGACAAGACUGCCAUCGUAAGAUGUGAGGAAGGUGGGGAUGACGUCAAAUCAGCACGGCCCUUACGUCCGGGGCUACACACGUGUUACAAUGGGGGGGUACAGAGGGCCGCUACCACGCGAGUGGAUGCCAAUCCCAAAAACCUCUCUCAGUUCGGACUGGAGUCUGCAACCCGACUCCACGAAGCUGGAUUCGCUAGUAAUCGCGCAUCAGCCACGGCGCGGUGAAUACGUUCCCGGGCCUUGUACACACCGCCCGUCAAGCCAUGGGAGCCGGGGGUACCUGAAGUGCGUAACCGCGAGGAGCGCCCUAGGGUA